GGAUUAGUGUUGAUGGUUCAACAUAUUAAUUGCAAAUUAAUUAUCUUUGAGUUCAAUUCUCAUCUAAUCUU
rnacentral:tRNA from 1 species